rnacentral:rRNA from 1 species
AGAGUUUGAUCCUGGCUCAGAACGAACGCUGGCGGCAGGCCUAACACAUGCAAGUCGAGCGCCCGCGAGGGAGCGGCAGACGGGUGAGUAACGCGUGGGAACGUGCCCUUUGGUUCGGAAUAUUCCCGGGAAACUGGGAGCAAAACCGGAUAAGCCCUUCGGGGGAAAGUUUACGCCAAAGGAUCGGCCCGCGUUAGAUUAGGUAGUUGGUGGGGUAACGGCCUACCAAGCCUACGAUCUAUAGCUGAUCUGAGAGGAUGAUCAGCCACACUGGGACUGAGACACGGCCCAGACUCCUACGGGAGGCAGCAGUGGGGAAUCUUGGACAAUGGGCGCAAGCCUGAUCCAGCCAUGCCGCGUGGAUGACUGAAGGCCCUAGGGUUGUAAAGUCCUUUCGACGGGGACGAUAAUGACGGUACCCGUAGAAGAAGCCCCGGCUAACUUCGUGCCAGCAGCCGCGGUAAUACGAAGGGGGCUAGCGUUGUUCGGAUUUACUGGGCGUAAAGGGCGCGUAGGCGGAUUUUUAAGUCGGGGGUGAAAUCCCGGAGCUCAACUCCGGAACUGCCUUCGAUACUGAAAGUCUGGAGCACGGUAGAGGUGAGUGGAAUUCCGAGUGUAGCGGUGAAAUGCGUAGA